rnacentral:rRNA from 2 species
CAGCCGCCGCGGUAACACCAGCCCCUCGAGUGGUGGGGAUGAUUAUUUGGCCUAAAGCGUCCGUAGCUGGCCCUGUAAAUCUCUCGUUAAAUCCAACGUCCUAAGCGUUGGGCUGCGAGAGAGACUGCAGAGCUAGAGGGUGGGAGAGGUCAGCGGUAUUCCUGGGGUAGGGGCGAAAUCCAUUGAUCCCAGGAGGACCACCAGUGGCGAAGGUUGCUGACUAGAACACGCCUGACAGUGAGGGACGAAAGCUGGGGUAGCGAAUCGGAUUAGAUACCCGAGUAGUCCCAGCCGUAAACGAUGCAGGCUAGAUGUUGGGUCGGCCAUGUGUUGGCUCAGUGCCACAGGGAAGCCAUUAAGCCUGCCGCCUGGGGAGUACGGCCGCAAGGCUGAAACUUAAAGGAAUUGGCGGGGGAGCAC